CCAGACAGCCAGGAUGUUGGCUUAGAAGCAGCCAUCAUUUAAAGAAAGCGUAAUAGCUCACUGGUCGAGUCGGCCUGCGCGGAAGAUGUAACGGGGCUAAACCAUGCACCGAAGCUGCGGCAGCGACGCUGAUGCGUUGUUGGGUAGGGGAGCGUUCUGUAAGCCUGUGAAGGUGUACUGUGAGGUAUGCUGGAGGUAUCAGAAGUGCGAAUGCUGACAUAAGUAACGAUAAAGCGGGUGAAAAGCCCGCUCGCCGGAAGACCAAGGGUUCCUGUCCAACGUUAAUCGGGGCAGGGUGAGUCGACCCCUAAGG
rnacentral:rRNA from 1 species